rnacentral:tRNA from 1 species
GUCCUUGUAGCUUAUAAAAAGCAUAACACUGAAGAUGUUAAGAUGGAUGAUCGCCCACACCCAAGGACA